rnacentral:rRNA from 1 species
UACGAAGGGUGCAAGCGUUGUUCGGAAUCAUUGGGCGUAAAGCGCGCGCAGGCGGAUUUGCAAGUCAGAUGUGAAAUCUCAGGGCUCAACCCUGAAACUGCGUCUGAAACUGCAAGUCUAGAAUGUCGGAGGGGGUAGGGGAAUUUCACGUGUAGGGGUAAAAUCCGUAGAGAUGUGAAGGAACACCGGAGGCGAAGGCGCCUACCUGGACGACUAUUGACGCUGAGGCGCGAAAGCGUGGGGAGCAAACAGG